rnacentral:tRNA from 1 species
GUAGUUAAAAAUGAGUAGCACUCGAUACAAAGCAUAGAGUGCAAUAAAGCUAUCCAUAGAAAUAUAGUCCACGCGGACUGAAAAUCCGCGUGUCGGUGGUUCGAAUCCGCCCCUGGGCACCA